rnacentral:rRNA from 1 species
AGUGAACGCUGGCGGUAGGCCUAACACAUGCAAGUCGAACGGCAGCACAGUAAGAGCUUGCUCUUACGGGUGGCGAGUGGCGGACGGGUGAGGAAUACAUCGGAAUCUACUUUUUCGUGGGGGAUAACGUAGGGAAACUUACGCUAAUACCGCAUACGACCUACGGGUGAAAGCAGGGGAUCUUCGGACCUUGCGCGAUUGAAUGAGCCGAUGUCGGAUUAGCUAGUUGGCGGGGUAAAGGCCCACCAAGGCGACGAUCCGUAGCUGGUCUGAGAGGAUGAUCGGCCACACUGGAACUGAGACACGGUCCAGACUCCUACGGGAGGCAGCAGUGGGGAAUAUUGGACAAUGGGCGCAAGCCUGAUCCAGCCAUACCGCGUGGGUGAAGAAGGCGUUCGGGUUGUAAAGCCCUUUUGUUGGGAAAGAAAAGCAGCAGGUUAAUACCCCGCGGUUCUGACGGUACCCAAAGAAUAAGCACCGGCUAACUUCGUG